rnacentral:rRNA from 1 species
CCUGAGAAGAUACGCUCAGGUGAGAAAGCGUGGGCCAACCGGAUAGAUACCUGGUGUUCACGCUAAACAGUGUACUUGGGGGUUGUCCUUGGGUGUGGCUUCGGAGUUAACGGUUAAGUCGCCGCCUUGGGGGUCGGCCGCAAGGUAAAAUUAAAUGAAUGACGGGGGCCCGCCCCAGCGGUGGACAAUUGGUUUAUUCGGAUGCAACGCGAAGAACCUUACCGGGUCUUGACAUUCACGAAGUUUUCAGAGAUGAGAAUUGUGCUUUCGGGAACGGUGAGGACAGGUGCUGCAUGGCUGUCGUCAGCUCGUGUUGUGAAAUGUUGGGUUAAGUCCCGCAACGAGCGCAACCCUUAUCCUUUGUUGCCAGCGGUCCGGCCGGGAACUCAAAGGAGACUGCCAGUGAUAAACUGGAGGAAGGUGGGGAUGACGUCAAGUCAUCAUGGCCCUUACGACCAGGGCUACACACGUGCUACAAUGGCGCAUACAAAGAGAAGCGACCUCGCGAGAGCAAGCGGACCUCAUAAAGUGCGUCGUAGUCCGGAUUGGAGUCUGCAACUCGACUCCAUGAAGUCGGAAUCGCUAGUAAUCGUGGAUCAGAAUGCCACGGUGAAUACGUUCCCGGGCCUUGUACACACCGCCCGUCACACCAUGGGAGUGGGUUGCAAAAGAAGUAGGUAGCUUAACCUCGGAGGGCGCUACAAUUUUAUAGGACCUUCACUUUAAUAGGGGUAAA